UACAGAGGUCCCAAGCGUUGUUCGGAUUCAUUGGGCGUAAAGGGUGCGUAGGCGGCGCGGCAAGUCGGGUGUGAAAUCUCGGAGCUUAACUCCGAAACUGCAUUCGAUACUGCUGUGCUUGAGGACUGGAGAGGAGACUGGAAUUUACGGUGUAGCGGUGAAAUGCGUAGAUAUCGUAAGGAAGACCAGUGGCGAAGGCGGGUCUCUGGACAGUUCCUGACGCUGAGGCACGAAGGUCAGGGGAGCAAACGGG
rnacentral:rRNA from 1 species